rnacentral:rRNA from 1 species
UACGGAGGGUGCGAGCGUUAUCCGGAUUCACUGGGUUUAAAGGGUGCGUAGGUGGGCCUGUAAGUCAGCGGUGAAAUCUCCGGGCUUAACCCGGAAACUGCCAUUGAUACUAUAGGUCUUGAAUUAUCUGGAGGUGAGCGGAAUAUGUCAUGUAGCGGUGAAAUGCUUAGAUAUGUCACAGAACACCAAUUGCGAAGGCAGCUUACUAUGGUUAUAUUGACACUGAGGCACGAAAGCGUGGGGAUCAAACAGG